GGGUUGUGAGGUUAAGCGACUAAGCGUACACGGUGGAUGCCCUGGCAGUCAGAGGCGAUGAAGGACGUGCUAAUCUGCGAAAAGCGUCGGUAAGGUGAUAUGAACCGUUACAGCCGGCGAUGUCCGAAUGGGGAAACCCAGUGUGAUUCGUCACACUAUCGUUAACUGAAUACAUAGGUUAACGAGGCGAACCGGGGGAACUGAAACAUCUAAGUACCCCGAGGAAAAAGAAAUCAACCGAGAUUCCCCCAGUAGCGGCGAGCGAACGGGGAGCAGCCCAGAGUCUGAAUCAGCUUGUGUGUUAGUGGAACGGUCUGGAAAGUCCGACGGUACAGGGUGAUAGUCCCGUACACCAAAAUGCACAGGCUGUGAACUCGAAGAGUAGGGCGGGACACGUGGUAUCCUGUCUGAAUAUGGGGGGACCAUCCUCCAAGGCUAAAUACUCCUGACUGACCGAUAGUGAACCAGUACCGUGAGGGAAAGGCGAAAAGAACCCCGGCGAGGGGAGUGAAAAAGAACCUGAAACCGUGUACGUACAAGCAGUGGGAGCACCUUCGGGUGUGACUGCGUACCUUUUGUAUAAUGGGUCAGCGACUUAUAUUCUGUAGCAAGGUUAACCGUAUAGGGGAGCCGCAGGGAAACCGAGUCUUAACUGGGCGUUAAGUUGCAGGGUAUAGACCCGAAACCCGGUGAUCUAGCCAUGGGCAGGUUGAAGGUUGGGUAACACUAACUGGAGGACCGAACCGACUAAUGUUGAAAAAUUAGCGGAUGACUUGUGGCUGGGGGUGAAAGGCCAAUCAAACCGGGAGAUAGCUGGUUCUCCCCGAAAGCUAUUUAGGUAGCGCCUCGUGAACUCAUCUUCGGGGGUAGAGCACUGUUUCGGCUAGGGGGUCAUCCCGACUUACCAACCCGAUGCAAACUACGAAUACCGAAGAAUGUUAUCACGGGAGACACACGGCGGGUGCUAACGUCCGUCGUGAAGAGGGAAACAACCCAGACCGCCAGCUAAGGUCCCAAAGUCAUGGUUAAGUGGGAAACGAUGUGGGAAGGCACAGACAGCCAGGAUGUUGGCUUAGAAGCAGCCAUCAUUUAAAGAAAGCGUAAUAGCUCACUGGUCGAGUCGGCCUGCGCGGAAGAUGUAACGGGGCUAAACCAUGCACCGAAGCUGCGGCAGCGACACUAUGUGUUGUUGGGUAGGGGAGCGUUCUGUAAGCCUGCGAAGGUGACCUGUGAGGGUUGCUGGAGGUAUCAGAAGUGCGAAUGCUGACAUAAGUAACGAUAAAGCGGGUGAAAAGCCCGCUCGCCGGAAGACCAAGGGUUCCUGUCCAACGUUAAUCGGGGCAGGGUGAGUCGACCCCUAAGGCGAGGCCGAAAGGCGUAGUCGAUGGGAAACAGGUUAAUAUUCCUGUACUUGGUGUUACUGCGAAGGGGGGACGGAGAAGGCUAUGUUAGCCGGGCGACGGUUGUCCCGGUUUAAGCAUGUAGGCUGGUUGUCCAGGCAAAUCCGGAUAAUCAAGGCUGAGGUGUGAUGACGAGGCACUACGGUGCUGAAGUAACAAAUGCCCUGCUUCCAGGAAAAGCCUCUAAGCAUCAGGUAACAUCAAAUCGUACCCCAAACCGACACAGGUGGUCAGGUAGAGAAUACCAAGGCGCUUGAGAGAACUCGGGUGAAGGAACUAGGCAAAAUGGUGCCGUAACUUCGGGAGAAGGCACGCUGGUGUGUAGGUGAAGUCCCUGCGGAUGGAGCUGAGACCAGUCGAAGAUACCAGCUGGCUGCAACUGUUUAUUAAAAACACAGCACUGUGCAAACACGAAAGUGGACGUAUACGGUGUGACGCCUGCCCGGUGCCGGAAGGUUAAUUGAUGGGGUUAUCCGUAAGGAGAAGCUCUUGAUCGAAGCCCCGGUAAACGGCGGCCGUAACUAUAACGGUCCUAAGGUAGCGAAAUUCCUUGUCGGGUAAGUUCCGACCUGCACGAAUGGCGUAAUGAUGGCCAGGCUGUCUCCACCCGAGACUCAGUGAAAUUGAACUCGCUGUGAAGAUGCAGUGUACCCGCGGCAAGACGGAAAGACCCCGUGAACCUUUACUAUAGCUUGACACUGAACAUUGAGCCUUGAUGUGUAGGAUAGGUGGGAGGCUUUGAAGCGUGGACGCCAGUCUGCGUGGAGCCAACCUUGAAAUACCACCCUUUAAUGUUUGAUGUUCUAACGUUGGCCCCUUACCGGGGUUGCGGACAGUGUCUGGUGGGUAGUUUGACUGGGGCGGUCUCCUCCCAAAGCGUAACGGAGGAGCACGAAGGUUAGCUAAUCCUGGUCGGACAUCAGGAGGUUAGUGCAAUGGCAUAAGCUAGCUUGACUGCGAGCGUGACGGCGCGAGCAGGUGCGAAAGCAGGUCAUAGUGAUCCGGUGGUUCUGAAUGGAAGGGCCAUCGCUCAACGGAUAAAAGGUACUCCGGGGAUAACAGGCUGAUACCGCCCAAGAGUUCAUAUCGACGGCGGUGUUUGGCACCUCGAUGUCGGCUCAUCACAUCCUGGGGCUGAAGUAGGUCCCAAGGGUAUGGCUGUUCGCCAUUUAAAGUGGUACGCGAGCUGGGUUUAGAACGUCGUGAGACAGUUCGGUCCCUAUCUGCCGUGGGCGCUGGAGAAUUGAGGGGGGCUGCUCCUAGUACGAGAGGACCGGAGUGGACGCAUCACUGGUGUUCGGGUUGUCAUGCCAAUGGCACUGCCCGGUAGCUAAAUGCGGAAGAGAUAAGUGCUGAAAGCAUCUAAGCACGAAACUUGCCCCGAGAUGAGUUCUCCCUGAGACUUUAAGUCUCCUGAAGGAACGUUAAAGACGAUGACGUUGAUAGGCCGGGUGUGUAAGCGCAGCGAUGCGUUGAGCUAACCGGUACUAAUGAACCGUGAGGCUUAACCUUACAACGCCGAAG
rnacentral:rRNA from 1 species